rnacentral:lncRNA from 1 species
UCUGCUUUUUUUGCUUGCUUUUUUUUUAAAACAAACAAACAAACAAAUAAUUAUUUAAGACCUCAGUUAACAGAUGUGAGCAGCUUCUGGACUUUUUUUUUGAAAAAAAAUUAAAUGGUAAACUUAUAUUACAGAUUAAAAAUGAUGUCCUUAAAAAUCACAACUGUGACCAGACAAGGAAGUUUCAAAACCUUUAAAGGAAUUUGAGAAGAACCCUUCCUCAAAAAGGUGUGGUGAGAAAGGCAAAAUUGAGUCUGUGGAACACCUCAUCUUAAGCCAGGCUGAGGCAACAAAUGCUAUGGCUCCAACUUCAGUCUCAGUGAAUGUAAGUAAGCUUCCACCCCACCCCCACCCA